GUUGGGGUUCCUGCAGCAGACCUGUCAUUGUAUUCACUUUGGAGCAAGAGCUCCCGUCAGCCCCUUGGGUGUGAACUUGGAGCCCCACUCUGAUGGGACUCCAGGAAGGGACUGCCUUGGGUGUUUUUCUGGGGACCCUCAGACUCUUGAGUCCUUGGGACAAGGGACAAACUCGGGCCAGGGCCCCAAGGGCCUUGCGUUUUUUUCUACUGUAACUGUAGCGAGAUAAUGUAUAUGAAUAUGUCUAUGUAUAUGUAUGUAAGAUGUGUAUAUGUAUAGCUAUGUAGCGCUCUGUAGAGCCAUGUAGAUAGCGACUCACACGUGCGCACAUGCGUGUGCGAUCCAGUUUCACCCUGUUGCCAGGAUACCCAGGUCACCUCACAUCCAGCAAUCAGCCGUGGCUCUCAGGCUGGGCGCUGCAGGCUCUGGGGGACAUUCUCUCUCAGUCCUCAGGAAAGAGGACCCCCAGGACCUCCAGCAGGCUCCCUUUUUCCCAUCUCGGGGCCCAUGUCCAGCCCCAGCCCCAGCCCAGCCUCUCUGAAUGUGGAAGCAGAAGACUCCCGGCUGAGCUUCUCUCUUCCCAGGGUCCCAAGCACACUCUGUCUCCUCCGUGUCCCUUGGUUUUCCCAGCUGCACAGCGGAAGGCGAGGGAGCUUCUAUUUAUUGAGUCCUCUUUGUGCCAAGCACUGGUUUUGCACUUUACACAUUAACUCCUUCAGUUUCACAAAGGCUGUGAGGUAGGUACUUUGAUUUUCCCCAUUUCACAGAUGAGGAAAUUGAGUUCGGGGUAAUUUUCCCAGAAUCACGGCAGUAGCAGUGGCAGAGCUGAGACUGACUAGAGGUUCGAAUCCAUCCUGGCUGAAGCCAAAGCCUAUGUCCCUUCCAUCAGAAACUGUAUUCGGGGCUGGGGAUGUAGCUCAGUGGCACCACACCUGCCUCCCAAGCAUAAGGUCCUAAGUUUGAUCCCCAGUACCGGAAAAAAAAAAGAAAACUGUGUUUGAUGGUCCCCAAGCAAGGUGUGGAGGGAAGAGAUCCAAGUUUAGCAACAGUUAGGUCUGGGUUCAAAUUCCAGCCCUGCCACUUAGCUGUGUGACCUUGGGCAAGUUAUCUGACCUUUCUGAGUCUCUUACCUCAUUUGUAAAAUGAGAAUAAUUAUGGUACUGCCUCACAAAAACCUAUGAGGACCAGAGAAGAAAAAGAAUGUGAAAUGCCCAGCCCAGUGCCUGGCACACAGCAUAGUAGGUGCUCAAUAAAUCACAUUUCUUCUGCUCUUCCUCAUGUACCCAGCCCAUUACUCCUGUGAGCUAUGGUGAAAACCCAGGGAGCUUUGAAUGAGGGCUCCAAGACUUAAAAUCUCAGGACUCAGGAGGUGGCUGGACCUCCCUAAGGGCCCAAGAAAGGUAUGGGGGUGCAGUUGGGCCAGACCUUGAGACGUGGAAGAGCUGGAGGAGGGCAGGGAGGGAGGAGGGGCAGGGGGUUGGAACGCACAGUGAGAGGUUGCUGGGUGGAUGUGGGGUUUGGAGCAGCUUUGGGAGCAGAUCCAUAGCUGGGGGGUCAGAGGGAGGGUCUAGCACGCUACAUCAAGGGGGUGAGUUGUGCUUGGUUCUGAGGGCGACCAGGAGCCACAGGCAGAUUCCCAUGGAAAAGCAGCUCAGAUGCCUCCUGGGGCUCUCCCGGCCUCCCCAGCAGGACCCCCGCAGAACCAAGGUCAAGCAGAGGUGGGUCUGGCUGCAGGACUGGAAUAGCGCAGAGGGCUGACCCUACCAUGUCCAUGCAGAGCUCACAAUAGGCCAGGGUGUUGGCCCAGUCCGGCUUGGUUCUGCACCGUCCCAGGACGUGAGGCAGGCUGGAUUCUCUGUGAUGGGCUGGGGGCCGGGGGGCUGCAGGCAAUAACCCAGGAGACAAGGGGCGAAGCUCUGUGAUCCUUGGUCCUAGUUCCUCCUGGACUAGAGAAGCUUUGUAGGCCCAGGAGUCCUUCAGACCUGCAAGGAUUUAAACGGCUGCAGCCUGAGUUGUGUGUGCCCCAUUCCCCCACCCCCAAGGAAGGCAGCUCAGAGAGGACAGCAGGACUUGAUCCAAACCGGUCUAGUCUUGGAGGUGGCAGAAAUGGAGAUGGAGGGUCCGGGCCACAAGGAGUGAGGAGCCCCUUGCCAUCAGGGCCUGGCCUAGUCACCCUCUUCUCUAUUCACAUGCAUUUUAUAAAAGCUCUGACCCACCCCAGGCACUCCUCUGGGACUGUGAGGCGGCCCAGUCCAGCCUGUGGGCACUCCCAUCCCAUCUCCCACGAGCAAUUUUCAAAUCUUCCACUUUUAAAACAGAUAAUGGUGAAUGCGCCGUAUUGUAUAUUUUAUUUAAAUAAAAA
rnacentral:lncRNA from 1 species